GGUGAGAUGGCCGAGCGGUCUAAGGCGCCAGAUUAAGGAGACCAACGCAUCAGAUGCGUUCAAUAUUCUGGUCACGUAGUGGCGUGGGUUCGAAUCCCACUCUCAUCA